GAGUUGACUGGGCUGAUCUGACUAGCUAGGGAAGGUUCCCUACCUCCCUCAUGGCUCCAUGCACAUCCUUUCUGAAUCUUCCCAUUUGGUUGAAGAAUUCUACCUUCCCUGAUAGAGGAGGACCAUUGUUUGUCAAGAGUAUAUGAAUAGCUAGCUGUCUUCCUCUUCUAGGAUUUCCAAGAUCCUCUCUGGAUGGGAGUACUUGUUUGUAUCUUCACUGUGCUCCUCAGAAGAGAGAGAGAAAGAGAGAGACAG
rnacentral:sRNA from 1 species